AUACGUAGGUGGCGAGCGUUGUCCGGAAUUACUGGGCGUAAAGGGUGCGCAGGCGGUUAUUUAAGUCAGAUGUGAAAUUCCGGGGCUUAACUUCGGAACUGCAUUUGAAACUGGGUAGCUAGAGUGCAGGAGAGGAAAGCGGAAUUCCUAGUGUAGCGGUGAAAUGCGUAGAUAUUAGGAAGAACACCAGUGGCGAAGGCGGCUUUCUGGACUGUAACUGACGCUGAGGCACGAAAGCGUGGGGAGCAAACAGGAUUAGAUACCCUGGUAGUCCACGCUGUAAACGAUGAAUGCUAGGUGUAGGGGGUAUCGACACCCUCUGUGCCGCAGUAAACGCAAUAAGCAUUCCGCCUGGGGAGUACGGUCGCAAGACUAAA
rnacentral:rRNA from 1 species